rnacentral:rRNA from 1 species
UACGAGGGGGGCAAGCGUUGUUCGGAAUUAUUGGGCGUAAAGGGCGCGUAGGCGGUGCGGUAAGUCUGUUGUGAAAUCUCCGGGCUCAACUCGGAGUCUGCAUCAGAAACUGCCGUGCUCGAGUGUGGGAGAGGUGAGUGGAAUUCCCGGUGUAGCGGUGAAAAUGCGUAGAUAUCGGGAGGAACACCUGCGGCGAAAGCGGCUCACUGGACCACAACUGACGCUGAGGCGCGAAAGCUAGGGGAGCAAACAGG